GCAAAAAUGUGGUCUUUCAUCUUCACGUGCGUAUUGUAUUUUUGCUCAACCAGCCAAUAGCAAUGGUUUUGUCCAAUUGCCCAUCCAUUACUUUAACAAAAGGACAUUUUGAACAUUCCUAUUGGUUGACUGCAGAAAAAUACAAUACGCACGUGACGAUGAAAGACCACAUUUUUGU